rnacentral:tRNA from 1 species
AUUUUUAUUAUUUUGGCAGAUUAGUGCAUUAAAUUUAGAAUUUAAUUAUGUAAGCAUAUUACAAAUAAUA